rnacentral:rRNA from 1 species
UACGUAGGGGGCAAGCGUUGUCCGGAAUCAUUGGGCGUAAAGAGCGUGUAGGCGGCUCGAUAAGUCUGCUGUGAAAGUCCAGGGCUCAACCCUGGAAGGCCGGUGGAAACUGUCGGGCUAGAGUCCGGAAGAGGCGAGUGGAAUUCCAGGUGUAGCGGUGAAAUGCGUAGAUAUCUGGAGGAACACCGGUGGCGAAGGCGGCAUCCUGGACCAAUUCUGACGCUGAGGAGCGAAAGCCAGGGGAGCAAACGGG